GACGUAGGGCGCGAGCGUUGUCCGGAAUUAUUGGGCGUAAAGAGCUCGUAGGCGGUUUGUUGCGUCGGCUGUGAAAUCCCGAGGCUCAACCUCGGGUCUGCAGUCGAUACGAGCAAACUAGAGUGUUGCAGGGGAGACUGGAAUUCCUGGUGUAGCGGUGAAAUGCGUAGAGAUCGGGAAGAACAUCGGUGGCGAAAGCGCUCUACUGGACCGCAACUGACACUCAGGGACGAAAGCUAGGGGAGCGAAUGGG
rnacentral:rRNA from 1 species